rnacentral:lncRNA from 1 species
GUAUUUCCUAAGACUUCUCUACCUUGCUGAGCCCUGAACCCCAAAUUCUACCUGCUCAGUGUUAGAUGACUGCCAAAAAUCUCAGCUCAGCUACUUAGCUUCCCAAUUGCUGCUGUCCACUAUUUUCUUCAGAGAUUUGGUUUACUUUAUCUCACAUGAGCACUAGGAUUUGGAGGAUGCCUAGGGGAAAUUUUCACAUAGAAUUUCAGACUCAUUUUUCCAAGAUUCCCUUCUUUCAAGGACUCUGGGUCUUCAUUUCCUUGCUCUCUUGGUAGCCUCAACCUCCAACAUCUGUUUCCUCACCUAAUUAGAAUGUCAAAACCCCAGGCUGCCUCUGCCUGCUAGGCUUCUCUAUUCCCCAAUCUAUAUAAUAGGAAAUGAUCAAAGGGAAGAUGUGUAAGUGUGGGCUUUCUCCAGCACCAUUUCUCUUGGAGCUGUUGGCCCUUCAAGUCUUGGCACACUUGGUUGCACCCCAGUAUCUUCAAACUAUUGUUUUGUCCAACUUUUAUAAUUUGUUUUGGCAGGAGAGUUAAUUUGCUACAAAUCAUUCCAUAAUGCCGAAAGAAGUUCUAAUAAUCAGGCAAACUUCCAGAUCCACUACUUGUAACCAGUAGACACUCAAAUACCCUUAGAUACUCUUUCUUUAGAUCACAUAUGGGCUGAACUCCUUAUUAUGCCUGCCUGUUUCUAUACCACUCCAACAUAUUCAAAACUUCCAGAACAGAGACUCACAACUGGAUGCUAGUUUAGAUGAACUUCCAGCCAUAAUGGGGUUGAAAGGAGAGACUUGCUUAUCAUAUCUUACUUAUCUUCUUUCUGCUGGUGGAUAUCAUGAUGCUUCCUGCCUUACUAAUAACCACACCACAUUGGUAAACUGUUCUGAAUCCAAAUAGCCUAUCUAUCAUCUAUUUUGUGCAGUGGGAAACUGCGUUCUACGGAUUUUUCAGAAAUGUCUUAAUUUGUUAACAUUGCCACCACCAUCAUCAUCAUCCUCCUCACUGAAAAUAUGUGGACACCUCAAAUAGCUUUUUCUAGAAGUUACUCAGAAGGAAGUCUCCAUUUGACCUCAUCUAAUCAGGAAGGAUCUGGGCCUGCUCUGGCAAUGGAAAUAGAAUGUUGCAACAUAAGAUUAAUUUUAAUUCUGGCCUUUUCAAUUUUGGCAAACGCAAAUGUCCCCACCCUAUGACUUGUAGAAAGCAGAGGCCCAAAAGGGGAGGCUUCAAACUUACACCCAAUCCAUAAGUGGUUAAAAAAAAUGAAGGGCUCUGAAACACUUUUGAUUACCAGAAAAAUAAUAAAGAAUGAAAUCUACAAUGUUAUAUUAAGAAACUUUCAGUUGAUGCCUAGGACUUGAUAAAUGGAUUCCCCUUUAGUUUUCACUUUAAAAAGUGAUUUCCUAUGACAAUAAUAAAUGGGUACUAAGGUACACUUUCUUCUUUAAAGCUAUAUAAUUUUUCAAUAAUACAUUUACCAAGUAUUCAAUUAUCAUAACUUUUUUAAACUUAUCAUGCAGAGUCUGCUACAUAAAAAGGAUGGACCCGAUGUUGUGUCUGUGAGGAUACAGGUUCCAUCCCUGGCUUCACUUAGUGGGUUAAGGAUCCAGCCUUGCUGCAAGCUGUGGGGUAGGUCCCAGAUGUGGCUCAGAUCUGGUGUUGCUGUGGUUGUGGCAUAGGCUGUAGCUGCAGCUCUGAUUUGAUCCCUAGCCUAGGAACUUCCAUAUGCCACAGGUGCGAC